GACGAACGCUGGCGGCGUGCUUAACACAUGCAAGUCGAACGGAAAGGCCCCUUUGGGGGUACUCGAGUGGCGAACGGGUGAGUAACACGUGAGUAACCAGCCCUUUACUUCGGGAUAACUUCAGGAAACUGGGGCUAAUACCGGAUAGGAAUCCUUGCUGCAUGGUGGGGGUUGGAAAGCUUCUGCGGUCUUGGAUGGGCUCGCGGGCUAACGGCUUGUUGGUGGGGUAGUGGGUUACCGACGCUCUGACGGGUAGAGGGACUGUGGGGCUGACAGGCGGCAUAGAGACUGAGGGGCGGCCCAGGCUGCUACGAGAGGACGAAGUGGGGAAGAUUGCACAAUGGGCAGAGGCCUGAUGAAGAAGGGCCGCGGGCGGGAUGACGGCCUUCGGGUGAUAAAACGCUUUCAGCAGGAGCGAAGCUUGUGGUGACGGUACCUACAGAAGAAGCACCGGCUAACUACGUG
rnacentral:rRNA from 1 species